GUUAGAGAGGGUGUGUUGUGAUGAGGUUAGAGAGAGUGUGUGUUGUGAUGAGGUUAGAGAGAGUGUGUUGUGAUGAGGUUAGAGAGAGGGUGUGUUGUGAUGAUGUUAGAGAGGGUGUGUUGUGAUGAGGUUAGAGAGAGUGUGUGUUGUGAUAAUGUUAAAGAGAGUGUGUGUUGUGAAGAGGUUAGAGAGAUUGUGUGUUGUGAUGAUGAUGUUGAAGAGAGUGUGUGUUGUGAUGAGGUUAGAGAGAGUGUGUGUUGUGAUGAGGUUAGAGAGAGUGUGUGUUGUGAUGAGGUUAGAGAGGGUGUGUUGUGAUGAGGUUAGAGAGAGUGU